AUUGAACGCUGGCGGCAUGCUUUACACAUGCAAGUCGGACGAGUGGCGAACGGGUGAGUAACGCCUCGGAACGUAACGAGUAAUGGGGGAUAACUGUCCGAAAGGACAGCUAAUACCGCCUAUUCUUUGAGCGGCCGAUGUCUGAUUAGCUGGUUGGCGGGGUAAAGGCCCACCAAGGCGACGAUCAGUAGCGGGUCUGAGAGGAGGAUCCGCCACACUGGGACUGUGACACGGCCCAGACGCCUACGGGAGGCAGCAGUGGGGAAUUUUGGACAAUGGGCGCAAGCCUGAUCAAGCCAUGCCGCGUGUGUGAAGAAGGCCUUCGGGUUGUAAAGGACGUUUGUCAGGGAAGCGGUACCUGAAGAAGAAGCACCGGCUAACUACGUGCCAGCAGCCGCGGUAAUUC
rnacentral:rRNA from 1 species